rnacentral:lncRNA from 1 species
GCUGUUCCUCACCCUCACACCUCUCACCACAGAGGUAUGGGAGCCUCCUCUGCUGGAUGGACACCCAUGGACAUGGAUCAGUUCCGUGUCGAGCAGGCUCGCCAGGGAGCGGAGAUUGAUCGGAUCGUGACAGAGCAGCUCCGUCAAGGGGCUGCCAUUGAUGAUAUUCAAAGGAUGAUGCAACAUAUGAUGUUGCAAUUUCCACAGCACCCUCCUCCGCAGUAGGCACUGUAAGUCCCUCUUGCAUUUGGGUUCAAACAUUGGGGUCAAUGUUUAGUUCAAGUGUGGGGGGGUUCCUUUCAUUGUUUUAAU